rnacentral:tRNA from 1 species
GUAAGGCAAGGGACUUUGACUCCCUCAUUCCCUGGUUCGAUCCCAGGUACCCCAG